CUACGGGGGGCUCCAGUCGAGAAUCUUUUGCAAUGCGCGAAAGCGUGACAAUGCGACGCCGCGUGAGCGAUGAAGGUCUUCGGAUUGUAAAGCUCUGUCAGCUCGGAUGAAAUUUCACAUAUGAAUAAUAUGCGAAAUUGACGGUACGAGCAGAGGAAGCCACGGCUAACUCCGUGCCAGCAGCCGCGGUAAUACGGAGGUGGCAAGCGUUGUUCGGAUUUAUUGGGUGUAAAGGGUAUGUAGGUGUCCUGUUAAGUCUUUCUUGAAAUACUUUGGCUCAACCAAAGACCCGGGGGAGAAACUGACAGGAUUGAGUACGGAAGAGGAAAGCGGAAUUCCCGGUGUAAGGGUGAAAUCUGUAGAUAUCGGGAGGAACACCAGUGGCGAAAGCGGCUUUCUGGUCCGAUACUGACACUGAAAUACGAAAGCUAGGGGAGCAAACAGGAUUAGAUACCCUCGUAGUC
rnacentral:rRNA from 1 species